rnacentral:rRNA from 1 species
UACGGAGGGGACUAGCGUUGUUCGGAAUUACUGGGCGUAAAGGGCGCGUAGGCGGCCUUCUAAGUCGAACGUGAAAUCCCUGGGCUCAACCCAGGAACUGCGUCCGAUACUGGUUGGCUUGAAUCCGGGAGAGGGACGUGGAAUUCCAGGUGUGAGCGGUGAAAUGCGUAGAUAUCUGGAGGAACACCGGUGGCGAAGGCGACGUCCUGGACCGGCAUUGACGCUGAGGCGCGAAAGCCAGGGGAGCAAAGCGGG